GUUGUAAUCGAUGUUUCUGCCAUUCAAACCUUUCUUGCCACUGGAUUCAAUUUCAAGACAAAUGGCAGUAAAAAUUGCUAUAGCGUUGGCAGUUAAGUUUAGCCAUUUCAAUAAAUCAUCUUCUGGAAUUCGUUUCAGUAAAAUGCAACAUUGCUAAAUGCCAGCAAAUCAGGAGUUACUUUCCCGUCACUGGUACGAUACAGCCUCCUAGUUCCAAGAUGGCGGACAACGUUUUCAGAGCUGAAGAGUUCAGACACAUCUUUAAGCGUGCGCCACGCUCUUGCUUAUCAACAUUUCACAUUUCUUUGAACCGUGCUAUGAACGUCAACGAUGAGAUUCUAUGGGAAGCAAAAAAAAAAAUCGUUAAUAAUACCAGAAGUUGUAAUUUUACUACUGCACACUUAUGUUGCGAAAAUUGGGUAUCCCAAUUUGAACAGGAAGCUUUUGAACACUGGAAAGCUGAAAUUAUAAGAAGACACUGGCGAGUGUAACAUCUCCGAAAAAGGUAAAAGAUUGAAGUUAGUUCAAUUCUUUAAUAUGCUUCUUAGUUACACCAAUUAAGAUUGUUUUUGCAGCAUGGUCUUUUCUUGUUUUAGCAAGGCACACAUUUCCUGCACAGAGUGGUAUUACAGGCAAAGUGCCAAAUUUUUUAAUGGACUAACUCCUAUGCCCCAUCCAACAAUGAACUAUCGCAAUGUGAAGUCGAAAGUUAUUGACAUUGACACAAUUUGGUUAUUUCAUCUUACCUCACUAAGUUAAACAGGUUGUUUCCAGUUGGGUUAGAAAUGCCAUUUGUUGGCAGCAUGGAUGGAAUGUGGUGUGCAGUCCUUUACACAAGUACUACAGAACAAAACCGUAUUUUUGUUUGUUGAAGGACGAGCAUAAUAAAUACCCAAUAAAGACAAUUGAAGAUGGCCAGAAGAUAUGCACUGGUGUUAAUUAGGCUGUCCAUGGAUUUCCCUAAGGAUACUUCUUAUUUAUACCAGGAGACGGUGCUGGGAAACAAGUGCAGUUCGAUGUCCAGAGAUGUUUCUGUGAAAAUGUCCAUACGCAAACAAUGUGCUGCGGAUGUGAAUCACCACCAGAUGCCGCGCAUGGCUGUGGGUGCGAGUUACGGCUAGGUGGCGGUACUGUUAUUCUACGCUCGGACGUCAAUGCAUUCAAGUCUAGAAGUGUCUUGGGAUGUCAGUGUGGUAACAAACCAGUUACAGCUACUUGAACAAUCGGGCGCUGUAAAAUGGUGUCAAAUACCGGAAUGGUCUGUGUUAGGGUACAGAUGAGCCACUAGAUUUUAACACGUGCAGGUCCCCGGGUUUCUGCAGCCGUCAUUACCCCUGGAAUUCUCCAUCAGCUAGUAUACCUAGUGAAAUUUUUAACAUCGUUUUAUUAAUUGCGGCGCAUGUGGGACUUUCGGACUAAACAGUAUCACAGCCAGUGGGCAAUAAAGUGGCAAGACAUUAAAUUUUCGACACAGCAGUAGUUUAGUUUCAAAUUUCAGCACUCAAGGAUUACUGUUGGUCUUUGCUAGCUGAUCAUAAAAUGUUAUGUAGAUACAUAGCUUUGUUAGCCUGUGCGAAGAAUUGAUAGCAAAUAAUACUACUUUAGUUGUAGGUAAGUAUGGGUGUAGGAACACAACUUAUUGUUUGUAUUUUACAUUCUCGUCCGACUUUCAGACAUUGGAUGAUAUUCCUUUUAGUAAAAUAACAUUUAUUUACUUUAGUGUUUAGUUCCAGGUUACUGUUAAUCUGCUAGCUGAUUAACAAAGAUAUUUUGUUACUACAAAGCUUGGUUUCCUUGUUCCAAGAAUCGCAAACAGAAAAUGGUGAGGUUUUGGUGAAAGUGGCAAUAAAACAAUAAAUGUAUAAAAUAAA